UGCGCAGGCGGUGAUGUAAGACAGAGGUGAAAUCCCCGGGCUCAACCUGGGAACUGCCUUUGUGACUGCAUCGCUGGAGUGCGGCAGAGGGGGAUGGAAUUCCGCGUGUAGCAGUGAAAUGCGUAGAUAUGCGGAGGAACACCGAUGGCGAAGGCAAUCCCCUGGGCCUGCACUGACGCUCAUGCACGAAAGCGUGGGGAGCAAACA
rnacentral:rRNA from 1 species